rnacentral:rRNA from 1 species
UGGGGAAUUUUGGACAAUGGGCGAAAGCCUGAUCCAGCAAUGCCGCGUGUGUGAAGAAGGCCUUCGGGUUGUAAAGCACUUUUGUCCGGAAAGAAAUCCUCUGGGUUAAUACCUCGGGGGGAUGACGGUACCGGAAGAAUAAGCACCGGCUAACUACGUGCCAGCAGCCGCGGUAAUAUGUAGGGUGCAAGCGUUAAUCGGAAUUACUGGGCGUAAAGCGUGCGCAGGCGGUUUUGUAAGACGGAUGUGAAAUCCCCGGGCUUAACCUGGGAACUGCAUUCGUGACUGCAAGGCUAGAGUAUGGCAGAGGGGGGUAGAAUUCCACGUGUAGCAGUGAAAUGCGUAGAGAUGUGGAGGAAUACCGAUGGCGAAGGCAGCCCCCUGGGCCAAUACUGACGCUCAUGCACGAAAGCGUGGGGAGCAAACA